GGAUUGUAACAUUCUUACCUCUUUCAAAUUCACCAGGCAUUAUCAUAAUAUCAACAUAUUCCUCCAGAUUCACUGGGCAUCAUCUUAAUAAAAACUAUUUCUCUAGGUUUAUCGAGAAUCAACAUAAUAUCAACAUAUUUCUUUGAAUUCAGUAGGCAUUAUCAUAAUAUCAACAAAUUCAUAUGGAUUCACCGUGUAUUAAUAUAAUAUCCACAUAUUUUGUUGGAUUCACCAGGCAUCAUCAUAAUAUCAAUAUGUUCCUUCGAAUUCACUAGGCAUCAUCAUAAUAUCAACAUAUUUCUCCGAAUUCACCAGGCAUCUUCAUAAUAUCAACAUAUUCCACCGGAUCCACCGAGCAUCAUCAUAAUAUCAACGAGUCUCUAAAUAUAAUAACAUACAUCCACAUGCAUAUCCGAACCAAUAAGUAUACACAAAAGUUGACAAUAUAAAGAAGUAGGGAUGCAGGAUAACACUAGUAAUUUUACAUUGCUAAUAAGAACCAUACAUAAUAUGAGUAUAGACAAGGAAUGAGUAUUUAGAUGAGAUGCACACUAAUCACAUUUACAAGGUCAUUCAAGUCAUAAUUACCAAAUAAUCCAACAACUGAGUUUACUAAAUGUAAUCCAACAUGUACAUUAGUCACUCUUCUAGAAUCUAGGUCACUAAGGAUUUUGUAGUCCAACUUAUGUGGGUCAAAUCCCACUUAUGAACUCUGAGAAUGCCAAGCUUACUAACACAAGUCUAGUAGCUACCCUGAAUUAGGCUAAAUUAUCUAUACCUCGCCAUAAGGGCUUACAAAUCCUUACUAGGUCUAUAGGGAAUGCCUCUUCAAGAAUCCUUCCUAAGUCAACCCAACACUAAGGUCAUUUCCUAUAAAGGCAUUAUAUAGGUCAAUACAUUCCUAAGGAUAGAUAGGUAUACAAUUUAUGUUUACUUAGAACAACUAUAGUGUUCUCACACUAGUGAUUAGACUACAAAUAAGGUCCUAGACUAAGGGUCAGCUAUCAUACCUUACAAAGUAAUAGUCUAUAGAAAUCAAUAAAUCCCAAUUUCACUAUUUAAUCAACUAUCAUCUAAAUUCCCUACCUAAUCUUGCAAGAUAUUAAUAAUUGUAAUACAAAUAAGCUCAAUAUAGUCUACGGGUAAGCCUAACCUAUCUUGAGUCCAAGCAACUGACGAACCAAUGUGAUUUCCUUUCCCUUCGGUAAAGCUUCCUCUACCACAAUCAAUGCAAUAGACAAUACACUCUAAGAAUUACAACAAGAAUUAUAAUAACCAUUAUGGCACUAUUGUGCUAGGUUUUCAAAUGGACACUAAAUCCCCAAUUGGAUUUCACCCUUUGAAUGGAGUUUCUAUGACCAACCCAUUACCUAACUAUCUAUAGGGAGUUAAAACCCCUAAGUAAUUUGAGUCAAUCACUCAAUUUUUGGGAUACAAUUGACUCUCAAUGAUAUAUGGGUUCUGAGUAAAGAAAGCAUGAAAUCAAUACAAAAUUAAAGGAAUUCAUACCUUAUAUUGUAGCAAUAAUCAAUCAUAUAAGUUGUUUAAGCUUCAAUUCAACCCACAAGACACUCGUAGAAGAUUUUAUACUCCAUUAGUGUUUAUAGGUUGAGAGGUAGGCACAACAUUGGCCAAAAUUUGUUCAAGACAACACUUGAAUAUAGACCAACCAGCUCUCUAGUGGCUCGAUCAUGGCCCCCACCUUACUACAAUUGCGAUAACUCAGUGAAUAAUAUGCAUGACUGAAGCUUGGAACUUGGUUCUGAUCUUUAGCCAAUGCCUCGGGUUGAAUCUGGUGUCUAUUGAAACAAAAGGCAUAUUUAACCCAAUAGUUUUUGACAUUCCGAAUGCAUUGGUAGAGUAGGAUUUCACAUAUGAGGUUGUUUUUCUAAAGGUAUCACUUAGUGGUCAAUUAGGAACAACAAAAACUUCCAAUUUAGAAAGGGGUUUAAAACCCAAAUGAACCAUCAGGCAACCAAACUAUUGGUCCCCACAAGUCAUUAUUGACUUAGGAUGGUUAUGGAGAAGCUCUAUCGAAGGAAGUAAGAAAGAAUAUAGAUAAUGACCUGGUGGGCCUUUAAUUCCAAGAUCAGUGGCCCCAUAAUAGAUGGUGAAGCUGGUGGACAAGUUGUAUUUUUCAUGUCAAGAUCUAACUUAUUCAGAGCAUAAUAAGAACCUUUAACACAAGUUCUCACCAUCUCAUCAUAUUCAUCAAUGCUCUCUUUGUCAAUGUUCGUGAUAACCACCGUGAGGGCCUCAACCUUAAGUCUCUCUUCAAUAAGUAUAGUCAAUACAUCAUCAUCGGUGGUGUCUAUCACUGGCACCACCUACAUAUUAUUCGAUUGUCGUAUCAACUGCUACACAUUAAAAGUCACCUAUUCGUCAUUGAUUCUGAACUUUAUCUUCUUAAUCUCUAUAUCAACCAAUUCCCUUGUUGUAGCUAUGAAGGGCCUUCCCAAGAUAAUAGGGAUUUCAAAGUACACCUCACAGUCAAGGAUCACAAAAUCAAAUAGAAAUUUAAAGGACUCCACCUUGACAAACACAUCACAUAAUAUACCAACUAGUUUCUUUAUAGUGUGAUUGGCCAUCAAUAACCUCAUAGAUGUCAAUUUCGGUGCCCUCAACCAUAUUUUAUUGUACACCACCAACGAUAUCAAAUUGAUACUAGCUCCCAAAUCAUAUAAGGCUUGAAAUAAGUUGAAGGACCAUGUAGUACAUUAAAUAGUAAAGUCUUCGGGGUCAUUUUUCAUCCCUAAUAAAGAUUGAAAACAAAUAGCUCUAUAAUGGUGCAUAUUAUUAGUGAGCUUAAACAUCACUGUGCGUUUCUUAGUAACCAAAUACAUCAUGAAUUAUACGUACCCUGGAAUCUACUCCAAAACAUCCACAAGAGAAAUAUUAACAGAAUGUUGCUUCAAGAUCGACAUGAACUUAUGAUACCUUUUUUUCUCUUGCUUCUGUGUUAAUCUUUGAGGAAAAGGUGGUAAAGGUCAUGGAAUACUCUUUAAUAAAUGCUCGAAUUCCUUCCCCUUUCCUUUAUCCUUCUAAACUUUCUUAUCAACAACCAUCGAAUUUUAUGAUGACUCACCAUUAAUCACCAACUUUUCACAUUCCACGUUGGGUACAUCAUUAAUAUCAACAACAUGAUCCUGAACCUCAUUUAUUAUAGAUAUAGGGGGAUCAAUGGUAGCCUUACCACUCCGAGUGGUGAUAUCUAAAUAUUUUCUGCCAUUAUUCAGUUUCUAAAUAGUAUUACUUGGAAGAAUGCAUGGUUGACACUGUUUUAAGGUUGCCAACAUCUGACCAAAUUGUUGCUUGAGUUGCUUGAUCAUAAUAGCAUGCAAUUCCCUUUUCUGGCUCAAACCUAAAAUAUCUGCCAAAAUCUCCUUUAGGCAUCUCUCUUUAUUCUUUAAACACUUAACUAGCUUAGUAACCAAAACCUCAAAGGGACGAGGUACUGGAUAUACAAUUUCCAAGCAUGACUUCCCAGAAACCUCUAAGAUGACAUAACGCUUCCAAGGGAUUUUGCCAUCGGUAUCCCUUUUGAAACCAACUUCCUUACUUCACUUCUCAAACAACCAAAGUCAAUCUUAACAACCAACUUGCCUCCAACAUAAUUGAGAAUGGCUAAUGCACACAAAUCCACAGGGAAUAGACCAAAUAUCUCUUAUGAAUUUGUUAAAGUAGCUAGAGAAAUACAAGAAAGUAAAUGGGGGUUUGCUGUGUAACUAUUAAAGUAGUAAUAAGUCUUGAUUGUUUUAGUUGGAAUCAAUUUGAGAUGAAUAUUAGUACUGUGUUCCCCCUAGCUUUCUAACUCCGCAGACUUUUCAUGCUCAAUUCAACUAACUCAAUGCUCUACAUGCAGGAUCUGACAAGCUAUGUAUCACCACCCUUCUUGUGAAUGCCUUGACAAGAUUUCACUCUUCUCUUUGUUAGUCUCAGAGUGUCGUCUUACUAAUCCUUGUCUUUGAUCAAUUUUCAACUAUCUGCUUUUGGGUACAAGAUGAUUAGACAAGGGUUGGCAUCCUCAAAUUACUAUCGUAAUCUUUUUUUCCUAAUAUCAAUAUCUCUUGUGAAUAUGAUCUCGAAUAUAGGCAAUCUCUUAACUUCUACAAUAGUUAAGAAAGCAAACAAAAUGAAGAAUGUCACAAUCCAUGCAUAAACAUUGAUUUUGAAAGACCUUACACUUCAUCUACUUUGUUAUUUAGCAAGGGUUCGGACAACCCUAGUUAGGCAGUUUAGCCUCUCAUGUAUGGAAGAAUAUGGAUGAAAUUCAUAAAAAAAUAACAUAAGAUUAAUCUCAGAACAAUUUAAUAAGAAAACUCAAACUUAAAUUAAUGAUCAACCAAGUAAUAAAGAACAAAGGAUUCCAAUUUCAAAAGUCAAAUCUUAUUAUCAAUAAAUUUUUGAGAACGUAAAGAGUGCGUAAACUAAUACAAAAAUAUUAAAAAGGUAUUUAUAGUUUACAUCAGAACCAUAAAAAUCCCCCAAAAUAAAAAAGGAAAACUGGGUUGGUGAUCACUUACGGACCAAUUUAUAGGCCGUAAGUGGUACAUACGAGCCCCUUAGUGCAUAGUAAGAGAUAAAAAUCAUUUAUACUGCAAGAGUACCACUUACAAAGGCACUUACAGGGUGUAAGUGGUACUUAUAGACCAUAAGUGACCGCAUUGUAGGUGUAAGAAAAAAAUGCUAAAGUAGCAAAUACACGCUAAAACACUUGACGCUAAAGUAGCUCUAUGACCGUUAAAGUGAUCAUAUCAGAUAUCAGGCACCAUAUUUUGCUAAGUCCAAAGUGGACUUCAAUUGGGUGCUCGGGACUUUUUUAAAACCUGUGCACCCAAAUGAACUUUGCUACUACCAAAUUCAAAAUUCCAAACUCAAUUGAACCAUUAAAACUUUUAUCUGAUAUUGUUUUAAUAAUAUGUGGGGCUUACACCUAUUGUUCCAUUUUUCAAAUAAUCUAUCCAAUAUCCCUAAGAGAGUUUUGAAGCAUCGGGACCUAAGCCAAGGGUCGUCCUAGCCUAAAAUCAACAUUUUAUAGUUGAUGGCACUAUCAAAAGUCUCAUAUGAGGUCUUUAACUAGAAGUUUUUGUCCAAGACCAUUUCCUUAUUAGCAAAAUCUCCAAAAUAUGAAAAUGAGCCAAAACCCAAAUGAAUUGUCCUAUAACUGAACUAAAAGUUUUGGCAAGUCGUAAAUGACAUGCAGUCGAUGAGGGUGGCUCAAAAUACCAAAAAUGCAUAUGAAUUGAGUAAAUGAACAAGAGGAUCAAUAAGUAUAAUUACUAAAAAAAAUUUCAUCUGGGACAGUCAAUCGAUUAGAAGAGCACAAAAACUCAAAGGGACGAGGUACUGGGUAUACAAUUUCCAAGCAUGACUUCCCAGAAACCUGUAAGAUAACAUAACGCUUCCAAGGGAUUUUGCCAUAGGUAUCCCUUUUAAAACCAACUUCCUUUCUUCACUUCUCAAACAACCAAACUCAAUCUUAACAACCAACUGGCCUCCAACAUAAUUGAGAAUGGCUAAUGAACACAAAUCAAACCCACAACUCAUUGAUACCAUUGUAAUACCAGCACAACCAAGAGUAAAUUUAUCAAAGCCAAAGGCAAUCCAAGGCAUGAAUUAUGAAACCAACUCUGACAUCCAAAUAUUGUAUUCUAUGCCUUUCCAAACCUGCUAUCUACUUUAAACUAAUAAAAAUAUCAUCCAAGCUAUUUUUGUGCAACUCCAACAUGAUAACCUCAUAGAACUGAAGUUGAUCAACCAAAGUCCAUAAUGAAAAGUAUAAGGAUAAGCCCAUAGGGUGCUACGUGUAUGCAUAAAUAGUGAUGAAUAUUUUUUGUAACCUACUUCCAAUGCUAGAUCUGGUCUAGAUGAUCCUCUAAAUGAUAGUCAGGAGUAUGAAGUAUAAAAACCUAUCACAUAAUGAGCUGAAUUAGGAGGUCCCAUUAAUUGUGGACAAAACCAUGCUAAAUACAACUCGUGCACACCACUUUUGUUGAGUAGAUAAUCAAUUUUGUUUGCAAAAAAUAAAAAAUCAAGGUCGGGAGCAAAAGAAAACAACCCCACAUGCCAAUGUGCUAUCAUCUAAACAUUAAUCAACCACAACCAAUAUGAACUGAAAAAGUUUAAAUAGGUAGACAAGGAGUAGGCUUAGUAAGCCUAUAAAUUAAUGCUCAAUUGACACAAAUAUGAAAAUAAAGGUUUAACCAAUCUACUCAAUACAAAACUAUGACUUCAGUACCAAAGUCAGACUACUCAAUCACAACCAUCAAAACUAAUCUCAUUGAUGGGUAAGCAUCCGUGCUCCCUAAUCUAUCAUAUCAACAUUCAAAACUAAAGUCGAUAGGUCUAAACAAAGAGAAAACACCCAACUCACCCUCAAAAACAAAGAUUAGGCAUAUCCCCACUUAAUCCUACCAGAGCUGGAAUUUAAAUGAAGCCGAGAACCAAAAUCACAAUGGAGGAUAAACCGCAGGUAUAAAGCACAAUCAAUUAAAUCAAUAUCUACAAAAGGCACAACGCACCAAGGCACAACCAUGAACUCACUAAGUCUGCAAACAACACUAGUGAUGACCAAACUCAAGCAACUUAGAGAAAUACAACCUUUGAUGGCAAUUGAUCAAUCUAAUACUCUAUCUCCUAUCUCUAACUCAGAUAGGAAUAAUCGCUUAUCUCUAACUCCACUAGAAUAAGAAAUACAUCACGCCAAGAAUGGAAUACCCAACUACACACCAAUACCAAGAUUAUACUAUCACCAAGAGACAAACCCAACAAACCUAAAAGGAAAGCCUAUGGCAUCUCAACAUUAAUAUCAAGACUAGUACGGAGUGAUGAACUAGUUAAAUUAAAAAAUGGUUCAUUAACUAGUCAAUUUAAGAAAUAGGCUAUGUUGAGAAGGAUAGCUAAUGUUGAAAUCUCCACAAACCAAAAGGCAAGCCAUAGAAUCUCAAACAUAGAAAGGGUAAUAUAUCCAAAUUGCCCACUCUGAAACCAUAAGAGGUCGAAGAAAGGCCAACCUAUCUUUAUUUCCAUAGCCAACUUAACAACUGGUCUAUUUUUGUAAAUCUGAAACAAAAAUAGCCAACCUCACUUCGCUACAAGGGAGAAACCACGGACCUAUGCUAGACACCAAGGCAAACAAACAAGAAUAAUGAGGAAGGAAAUUUUAUCUAGAUAAUGCUAGUCUAGUCAUCUAUUAUGAAAAGAUCGAUCAAUGUCAAACUAUGAAAAUAAUAAAAAUAGUACUAAAAGCAUCUGUAUAAGGAGUAGUGUUACUAAAAAUGAACAUCAAUAACAAGUACCUCUCUUGGGCCAUAAGAAGGCCAAUAUACAUCGUUAAAUAGGACUGUAAACCAAAUGCUACAACCUAGAUAAAUAUUAAUACAGAUCCACUCUACCUACAACAAAAACAAAUCAUCUAUGGAAGUAGUCAUAUAAUCAUGAACGCUACACCAAGGCACACAACAAUUAAUAUAAACCUACAAAGGCACAUAAUCAUUAAUAGGUACAAAAACCCUAAUACACUUAAAUGAAAAGGUAAAGGCAUAAUAUAAUAGGCAUACCUACCAUAGUGGUAUUCAAAGUCACAAGUUUGACGUGCUUGAAGGAGUACAAUUUGAGAGGGCCCAAACUUGAACUGAGCUUCUGAAUUACUAACUGAGGUACUGAGUACACUACAUCUAAUUGAAGGCACCAUGAUGCUAGAAGACUAAUUUGGAAAAGUUGAAGAACUAUUAGUAUCCCAUUAAGUACACUCUCUAGACCAGUGUAUAAGCUUUCUAUAGUUAUAGAAAAACCCUAAAUCUAUAACCUAGCCAGAAACACUGGUUGACCCCAACUUCUUAACUAAUUAAUAUUGGGGACACUUUCUAUUGGGAUGAAAAUCCUCUUUACAAUAAUAACACACAUAAGGAACUAUAGGAUGGCUGGGAAUAGAUGCUAAUCUUUAUAAAAAACCAACUAGCAUAUAGGGCUCUCUGAGACUAAUGGAUAUUCUAACCAAAACUAUGAAAAGCUCCUGAAAUAGUCUGAGGUAUUGCACCUAUUGAUCAAGAAUGGCCAACCACAACCUAAAGACCCAUAUUGAAUACUACACAAUGUUUAGUGAGAAUUGUUCAUUCUAGGACCACCAAGACUAAUCUAAAAGCUACAUAAAGCAUGAGAUGCUACCUGUAUAAAAUUAAAAGGUUGUAAGCAAAGAUGAUCUCCGUUGGGAUAAACCUUAAUUGCAAAUGAAAAACAAUUAACACUGCACUGAUGACAAGAACUCUCAGGCCACCUUUAUAAGUCUCAAGACAUACUCUCGCUGUGGCCCUCAUGUGAUCAAUAACCUGAUAGAAAAAUACAGCUGCUAUUAAAUUUUCCAAUGCCAAAUAGAGCAGUAAAGUUAAUCCUCUAAUAAACCCACUCACCGUAUCAUACUCUAAAGGAUAUAUCUUAAGGGUAUGUCUGGCCUACUCAAGAAAGCCAACCACAUACUCUAAAAUUAACUAGGACCCCUACUUGACACUAAUAAAUCUAACUCUUGACUGAGAACUUUUUGAUGUAUCAAAUAUUAUCUUUGGCAAUAAGGUGUCUAAAAAAUAGAUUGAAGUCCCAUAUGUUGAAUCUUAAAAGGAUAAGGAGUUCACAAACUCUACCAACGCAUAGGCUAGACCAAAAUCCUCUAGUUGACCCUGAAGAUCCUUGACAUCUAUAUCUAACUCCCUAGUCUAACACUGUGUUAAAAACUUUGAAAACGCAUAUCAAAGUAUUAGUUGUCUCUAUUGAUAAAAUUGUAUCAUCCAUCUAGAACUGAAUAUGGACAAGAAAUAUGCUAGAUAUUCAUUGAAGUAUAGACACACAAUAAGAAGUCAAGGAUAUAAAUUCCUAAAAAUAUCCUAUAACCUUUCAAAGAUAGGAUACAGACGUCUCAACAUUGAUAUGCAGGACUCUGCUAGAAAUGAACCUCUUAUACCAACACUCCAAUAAACCUAGAAUCUGAUACCAAUUUAUCAAGAUACAAUUUCUCAAGUUAUGAUAGUACCUACAAUAACCCACCAGUAGGUAAGCCGACCCAUUGUCUUGAAUCUUUAGUAAUGAAAAAUCUAAAGAAUAGGGGGAAAAUGUAGAAUAAAUAUGAUAAAAUACUAAUACAUAUAAGGAAGUCAUAAAACCUUAUGGAAUCACUACGAGAGUUUCUAAUAUAAUAAAAGUACAUAGUAAAAUACUAAAUAAACACAUGAAUAUAACCCAUAUAAGAAUAUAAUAUUGAGAUCAGUCCAAACCAUAAGAGGUAGAAUAGUAGUACUCGAAUUUCAUGCCUCGAGCCUACAUCCUGGACAUGACAAGGUACUUGUAACCCUGAGUGGACCAAGCUAACCCUUGGCUUGUCAUGAAACAUAAAAAGUGAACCAAAAAGUAAUGCAGAAGAUCAGACAUAGCCUACAAUUUUAUAAAUAAAUAAUUAAAUAAUCCCAUAACUAAGAAAUAUAUUAUUUGAAUUCUAGGUACAGCUGUAGGAUUGUUUAUAAACUAUCUACAAACACUGAUUAGUAACUAAGAUAAGACGCCAAACUAACUCUAGCUAACUCAAAGGGACAAAAAUAAAAUGAGAACUCUGAAUAAGUUUCCCUCAAAGGAUGAGGACUCACAACAACUGACUGGAUUUUUCUUGCACUUACUAGUCAAGAAACUAUGAGAAAUACUUAGAUCUACAUUAUGAAACAAUGUAGGCACAAGAAGUAUGUGUUAGUACUUUUAAUACACUGGCAUGUAAAGCAGUAAAGUAAAACAAUUUUAAUAUCUGAGACUAAUAAAGCUAGAAAUUGAGACACAAAUAAUAGAUUCAUAAAUUGAGCUGAAUAACUAAAAAUGUGAAUGACUAACUUAAGGCCAAAACACAAAUUAAUAUAAAUAAACUCUUCUAAAAGUUUAUUCAUAAAACGAAAAUGGAAUGACUAAAGUUUGAACAAAACUUAAAAAUAAUGCUCCACUAAAACUCUCUUAAAACUGGUGGCCUAGGUCAAUUAUACAUUAUGUUGAAAUAAAUAAGGUUUUCUUUGGUGGAGUUUCUGUUAACCGACAUAAGUCAUGUGAUGAACAUCAAGUCCAAUGUCUUUCCCACAUUAAGAAGAGAUGUCCUAUACUAUGCCAAGGUGUAAGAUAAAACGUAAUAUAUGGGUCCAACUCUUAGCUCGAAGGCAAACCUUUGAUGAUAGCGCAGUUAUAGGGAAUUUGACUUUGGACUUGUACCUAACAUAGUGCUAAAUAAUCCUCCCAAAAUAUACUAGAUGCUCAUAAUAUAGUCAUAAAAACACUUUCUAAAUGUCAUGCUUGACUUAAAAUAUUGUAUAAAGAGUUUGUUUAUAUAUAUAUAUAUAUAUACCUAUGAGCCUUGGCUCUAAUUUUUGUUAACUUUUCUUAACUUUAAUUUUUCAAGAUACGAUAAACUUCAUAAUUUUCUAUUCAGGACAUGAAAUAUCAUAAAGAGAUUAUGCUAUAUUUUUAUGAAUAUAUAUUUUAAUAUUGUAAACCAAAUGUAUGCAAAUCAUAAAUAAUCCAACAAGUCAUGAAAUGGGUUUCUCAAUAAAUUAAUAAUAUUUAUAAACUUUGACUAAAAAUACAAUAAACAUGUAACAAGAAUCAAAUCAAGGGAGAGACUCUAAACUCAUAGAGUUCUUACUAAAAACAUAGGAUGUUCAAGGAAUAUGAUCAAGAAAGCAAAAAUAUAAAUUAAGGAUUUCAACUCCUAAAAACAAUAACAUAAUUCAUGGAGUAAACUAAAAAUAUAACAUGCGUUGUGGGGAGAAUAGGUUCCCACAUAAAAGGAAUAACUUUACAUGACUAACGAAUCAAGAAACUUGAAGAAGAUUUGAUGGAGUCUUGCUUGCAGAUCCUAAGCUUUGGAUUUUCAUGAAAAUUAGCCUUAACAUUUGGGAAAGAAGAAAAGAAAGUAUCUAAAGGAAUUCUUACUAAUUUAGGGCUAAGUAGGAUUAAAAUAAUCAUUGUAAGAAGUUAUUUGGCAUUUAAAGACCAUAAUGCCCCUAAUAUUAAUUAAAAGCUAGAAAAGUUUCUUAAAGUGUUACAAUAUCUCAUCCUUAGGAUCAUUUGUCCUCAAAUAAUGUCUAUGUACCUUUUCAAUACUCUACAAGGAUGGAGUAAAUAGAGAAAAUUUACUUUGGAACUCUCAUGACUCAUAUAUAGAAAAAUAUAAUAAGAAAGCUCAUGUAUGGAAUGCAAGGAAUACCUGUAUGCAUACACUAUAAGAUAUGGGGCUUGAAUAAACAUUGGAUGAAACAUGAGGUUGUGGAAAAAAAAUUGACUGCUCUUAUCUUAAGCGACACAUCCAUCAACCUUUAAGCGUAUCAACAUUUCUCUACUACUCUCCUCCCUCUAGACACAAUCCUUAUCAUUUACAAAUUAUAACUCUCAUUAAUAUACACAAAGCUACAAAAUUCUAAGUCUAAGUACAAGCUCCUCCAUAUUUAGGCCUACCUCAAAACAUCUAUCCGUAGGUUCUGUAUUCCUUCUUACUACUUUAAAUUACCAUCCCAUGAGCUCCGAUCAAGUAAUUUCUAGUCUCACACUUCAAUAUUCCACAUAAUAUACAUCAAUACCUCACAUAAUAUACAUGCCUAUUAUUAAAAUCAUUUUGUGCAAAUCAACAUAGAUUCAAACCAUGAAAACUCUUCUAGAUAUUACACAUAAGUAUAAUCACAUCUCACUUUUUCUAUGUAUUUAUAUCAUUAGAUGGAAAAAGUGCUCCGCUAUCUCUCUACCUUAGCUCAAAAGCUACUAAGUCUGACUUGUGCCCCUAUUUUAAAUCUAAUCUAUAAGAAUAAUAUCCGUAUCAUCAUGGUUUAAUUAUAUACAAAAAUACAUAAAAUCUCUCUAAAAAUUACAACUGAAGAUUUUAUAGUUCCUGCGAGGACUCUUUUUUUAUUUCAUAACUUUCUUCUUCCCUCUAAGGGAUUCGAACUCCUAUUCUGUUACCAGAAAAUACUCUCAAUAAUAUAGCCACCCAUAUGAUAGCUUAAAUCUAUUUCUAAGAGUCUCAAUACCACUCAACUGCAUUUUACCUUACUAUAGAUAAUACCCCAUAAGAUCCUAAGCGCGACUCAGCUUCUAGUUGCAUGAUUAAGGUAUCCAAGGCAUGAAAUUUUCACUAAAGGUUGAGGAAUUAGUCAUUUUUAAGAACCCAAGAUUUUAUGGAUUUUAUUGUUGACCUUCCCGACCCCGAGACAUUGGUUUUUGAGUUGAAACAUGUUUAGGGAUGUUAAAGGUAUGUAUCGAAAGAGUUUUAGAAUUUUUAGAUGGGAUUCAAGGCUUGUUUGGAUAGAGGAGGUAGUGAGCCUCUGUGAUAAGGCAUUCCCCUAAAAAAGACUUCACGGCAUAAAGGUAGCUCCCCUAGAAUAAGGUUCGAGGUGAACUGGCUUCUCCCCCAGAUUAGGGUCCAUAACACUGAGGUGGGGCACUUUCUACUUCAUCAUUAAAUUAGGUCAAGGGUCAAUUGGAACCUUUUCCCUUAAUCCCAGUCAUCCCAAACAAGAUUUGUGACAUUCCUAGGGGCAUUAUUUGCUAUUAUCCUCAAAAUUAGUCACUAGAAACACUCUUCUUCCCAAGAACAAAAUUUAAGCUCCCCUUUUCCCAAACAAUUAAAGUUCUUAAGCUUUCAAAUUCAAGUAUUCUUGAAGAAUCUAACUAUUGAGGUAUGUGGGGUUUGUGAAUAAGGAUAUUCUUCCAUUCUGGUGCCCAAAACUUAUUUUAAAGUUAUAUGUUUUUCAAUUAUCAUUUAUACCAAAAUUAUCUUGUGUUAAUUUUAUGAAAUUAUCAUGUGAUUGAAGUAUUAAAGUAUGUACAUGUUCAUAUCUAUUUGAGAUUUGACUUGAAGAUUCUCUAUUAUAAGUUGAAUAUCAUGAGUUUAAUUUGAAACAUUAAUUAAAGAUUUCCAAUUGAAUUUUAAGCAUGAUAAUGCAUUACAAGUUAUAUGGAAGACAGUAUAUGAUUCAAGGCUUGAGUUUAAUCAAUAAGCUUACAAGUAAGUUUGAUCUUUUGAUUCAAUGAAAAAGCUUGAAAUCCAUAAUUAUUUAUGUUAAUUAUGAUUUAAAGUAGAGAGAAGCAUGAGUAUUUUUUUGUAUACAAACCGUUGUGCUAUUUUAAGGUGGAUUUCCUAAAUUAUAAGUAUAUAUGUAUUAUGGGAGUAGUAUUUAACACCGACUAGAGAAUACAGAUGAGUCUAUCCUUAAUUCCUAGAAUUUGCAAUCCAACAUAGGUUAUGCUUUUCCUAAUUUGGAUGAAUUUAAGGAUAGUGAUCACUAUGAUUACGGUUUUAUCCCAACAUCAAUGGUAGGACAUCUCUCUCUAAUAUGGGUAAGAUGUUAGACUCCAUGGUAGCUCUCAUUGUUUAUGCCAGUUAGAAGAACCUCCCUAUGAAAGAAAAAUAAAUAAAGGUUUUAGAAACUAAGUUUUAUGUCUCACAAAGUUUACUCUUAUGUCUAUUCAUUUAUGAUUAUGAUCUUGCAGUACUUUGUUUUAUUCAUAUCCAAGAUGAUUCAUUUACACAUAGUAUGCAUCAUUGAAAGUUUAUUUGAAUAUUUAAUUAUUGUUUUACUUAUGCAUUCACCUCCACAUACUCAGUACAUUCCGGAGGUACUGACUCACAUAUAUGUCUAUGUUCUACAUUGUCUUAUAAUGUAGGUUCUGAUGCUCAUUUUCUGCAGCAGGAUUGAUUAUGGGUAUCACCACUUACAUCCCAAAUUUUGGUGAGUCCUCAUAGUGUGAUGGCCUAGUUUAUCAGCCUUUUUAUAUUAAUAAAGUGUUUUAGUUAUUUGAUUUUUAUUUAAGUUUGGGUUAGAUGGGUCUAUCCUAGUAGCUCUCUAGUUAGAAGUAGAGGCUUGUCAGAAUAUUUAUGUUUUAAGUUCAAAAGGGUUUGUUUAAAUAUUUCCAAGUUAAACACUUUUAGUUGAGAUAUAAGUUCAAUUAUCUUAAGAUAUUAUAUGUCAGUAGGCUUUUCUUAUGAUUUCCAAGUUAAGUAGGUUUUAAGGGUUAGAAUAGGGCUACUUGUAGUCUUGAGCACUAUGUGACGCCUAGAGAGUACUUCCAGGGCGUUACAAACUUGGUAUCAUAGCCUAAGAUUUUAGAGAGUCCUAGGGAGUCAUACAAGAUACAUUACAUAGAGUCAUGAUCAUGGAUGUGGAAUCAUCAUUUUUAUCAUGAUCUAUCGUGUUUACAGUUAUCUAUAUCUGCCUUCACUCAUGCUUUUAUGUGACAUAAUAUGCCUCCUAUCCGAGCUAAUAUAAGUAGAAAUAGUUACCAACCACCCCUGCACAUCAACCCGCUAAAUGAGAAUAUGCCUCAUGUAAAAUUUUGGGCUGCCUUUUAAGUGUUAGCCCAAGCUGUGAAUCCCAAUGUUUAGGGCAACAACAGGCCACAGUCCCAUUUCACAAAAAUAGUAACCUAGCUGCAGCUAAGAUUCAUGAUUUCAUAAGGAUGAAUCCACCUGAGUUCCAUGGGUCAAAGGUGGAUGAGGAUCCCCAACUCUUUAUUGAUGAGGUUAGAAAUAUUAGUCAAAUUAUACAAGUUACUGAGAAGGAUAAGAGUGUAGAAUUGGCAUCCUAUAGGCUGAAGAAUGUUGCUUAUGAUUAGGUGAAAAUUCAGCUCCUGUAAGUUUACAAGUGUUCCAGAAUAUGUUUCUGUAUAGGUUCUUUCUGUAUCAAAUAAGGGAAGCUAAAGUAGAGGAGUUCAUGAACCUGAGGUAGGGCUCUAUUUAAGUGAAGAUGAACUAUUUUAUUUUUACACGGUUGUCUAAGUAUGCUCUCGAUUUGAUAUCUAACUCUAGGGAUCGAAUGAGUAAGUUUUUUACUGGGGUGUCUGAUUUAGUAGUCAAUGAGUGUAGGACUACAAUACUUAUUAAGGAUAUGGAUAUUUCUAGGUUGAUGACUAGUUCUUAACAGAUUAAGGAAGAAAAGUUAAAGGAAAUAGAGAAGAGAAACAAAACGGCUAGAACUGGAUAGCUUGAGUAUAGGUAACCAAGGUCUAGAAGGGGAUACCAUUUGUAGUUUUAGGGUCAUUCAUUAGUGGCAGUGCCAUCUUUACCGAAUUCCCCUGCACUCAGAAUCAUGAAGGAAAAAUGGGGUAGGAAUUUAAAUUAUACGUAUCAAAAUAGUGUGAGUGGAAAACCUAGUUAUCUGAUAUGUGCAAAGUAUGGAAACACCCGUCCUAGUGAGUGUUUGAUAUGGAAAGGGGGUUUUUAUGGGUGUUGAAAGUUUGGCUACAAAAUCCAGGAGUGUAUGUAUGCUAAGUAGUGAAGUAAGGAUGUUCAUCCUCAAACUGAGGUUACUAACACACCAGCUCAGCCAAGUCUCCCAGUUCCUCCAUAGGGAGCGUCAUCCUAUACUAGUGGAGGUCAGUCCCAAAAUUUGUUUUAUGCUUUACCAUCCCAUCAGGAGUAGGAGAGUUCACCAAAUAUUGUCAUUGGUAUGAUUUGUGCCUUUUAUGUUGAUGUUUAUACGUUGUUAGACCCAAGAUCAAAUCUCUCUUAUGUGACUCCACUGAUUGAGGUAACUUUUUGUAUAGGUCCAACAAAAGCUCUCUAAACCUUUCUCAAUGUCCACUUUAGUGUGUGAGUUAAUUCUUGCGAGACGACUCUAUAAGAAGUUUCCUAUUACUUUAUUCCAUAAGACCAUAUUAGUAGACUUAACAGAGUUAGAGAUAGUAGGUUUUGAUGUUAUUCUAGGCAUGGAUUGGCUACAUUCAUGUUACGCAUAAAUUGAUUAUCACACUCGCAUUGCAAGGUUUCUGUUUUCUUAAGAGGCAACUCUUAUUGGGUGGGUAGUUCUGUGUCUUCCGAAGGUAAUUUCAUAUCUUAUCUUAAUCCCAUUUGUUAAUAUCAUAAGGAUGCAUCUAUCAUUUAGUUAGAGUUAAAGAUACUAAAUUUUAAGCCCCAAAAGUUUAAUCAAUCUAUGUAGUCAAUGAUUUUUCCGAUAUUUUCAUUAAAGAUUUGCUAGGGGUACCUCCAUAUAGAAAAAUAGAAUUUGGUAUUGAUCUCAUCUUUGAUACUUGGCCCAUCUCUAUCCCUCCAUAUAGUAUGGCUCCGACCGAGCUUAAAAAGUUGAAAGAGCAGCUUAAAGACAUCCUAAAUAAGGGUUUCAUAAGACUUAAUAUCUCUCUGUGCGGUGCUCUAGUCCUGAGUGUGCGCAAGAAAGAUAGUUCUUUCAAAAUAUGCAUCUACUACCAUCAGUUGAAAAAAGUCUCAAUCAAGAACAAAUAUCCUCUCCCUAGAAUUAAUGACUUAUUCAACCAGCUUCAAGGUGCAAGUUAUUUAUCUAAUAUAGACCAUCAGAUCUGACUAUCAUCAGCAUAGAGUCAGAGAAUAUGACAUUACAAAGACAACCUUAAGAACUCGAUAUGGUCACUUCGAAUUCCUAGUUAUAUAUUUUGAACUAACAAAUUCCCCUGCAAUAUUUAUGGACUUGAUGAAUCGAGUAUUCAAGCAGUACUUGGACAUGUUUUUUAUCGUCUUCAUUGAUGACAUCCUUGUCUACUCCCAUAGUGAGAAUCAUCAUGCAGACCAUCUGAAGGUUGUGUUACAGACCGUUAGAGAUUAUCAGUUGUUCGCUAAGUUUAGUAAGUGAAAAUUUUAGUUACGAUCCAUAGCUUUUCUUGGUCAUGUUAUUUUUGGUGAUGGCAUUCGAGUUGAUCCUCAAAGACCAAAGCGGUGUGAAUCUUUCCCAAAACUAUCUUUCCAUUAGAUAUCAGGAGCUUCUUAUAUUUGGUUGGCUAUUAAUAACUAUUUUUUGAAGGUUUUUAUUUUGUUUCUUCCCCUCGUGUCGAGGGUAACCAGAAGAAGGUUAAAUUUUAGUGGUCAUAUUUCGGUAAGAAGUGUUUUAAGGAAUUGAAGACUUAACUCACUUCUGCCAUAGUCUUGACUUUGCCAGAUGGUAUAUAUGGAUUUGUAGUAUAUUACGAUGAUUUUAAAGUUUGUCUGGGUUGUGGGUGUAUAGGGGUAAGGUCAAAGACAAUGCCUAUACACAGCUUAAACCCCAUGAAAAGAAUUAUCCGGCCCAUGAUCUUGAGUUGGAACCUAUUUUCUUUGCCUUAAAAAUUUAGAGGCACUAACUUUAUUGGGUUCAUGUUGAUAUGUUCAUGGAUCAUAGGAGUUUAUAGUAUUUAUUCACGUAGAAAAAGCUAAAUCUUUGCCGGAGAAAAUGGCUUGAGUUGUUGAAAGACAUAUAAGUUUAUUGUAUCAUCCAGGCAAGGCUAAUGAAGUGGCAGAUUCCCUUAGUAGAUUGUCUAUGGGUAGUGUUUUAUAUCUUGAGAAUGAUAAGAAGGAGUUAGUUUGUUAGGUUCAUCAUCUUGCUCGGUUAAGAGUUCGGUUGGUUGAUUUAACUAAAGGUAGUACAUGGGUGCAGAAUGGUUUGGAAUCUUCAUUAAUUUCCAAAGUAAAAGAAAAGCAAGACAGAGAUUCUAGUUUGGUUAAAUUGAAGGAGGUAGUUAGAGAUCAGAAGGCGGAGGUUUUCUCCCAAGGGGGAGAUGAUGUGCUUCGUUAUUAAGGUAAUUUAUGUGUUUUGGGUAUAAAUGGUUUGAGAUAGGAAUACUGGCGAAUGAAUAUGGUGUGUGAUAAUCUAUCCACCUAGGAUCUACUAAGAUGUGCCAUGAUUUGUAGGAACUCUAUUGGUAGAGUAGUAUGAAAAAAGAUAUUGCAGAAUUUGUGGUUAGGUGUUCAAAUUGUUAGCAGGUUAAGGUUGAGCACCAAACACCUAGUGGUACACUUCAGGAGUUUAGCAUAUCUACUUCGAAGUGGAAGGUGGUGAAUAUGGAUUUUGUGAUUGGGUUUUCUCAUAUGCGUCGUCAGCAUGAUUUGAUUUGGUUCAUUGUAGAUCUAAUGACCAAAUAAUCCUAUUUCUUGUCAUUUCAUACUUUGUACUCAGCUGAAGUUUAUGCUAGGAUUUAUCUUAAGGAGUUGUUGAAGAAAUUUCAUGGGGUUCCAUAUUUUAUUAUUUAAGAUAGAGGUUCUUGGUUUACAUCUCACUUUUGGAAGACUUUCCAAAAGGGUCUUGGUACCCAAGUUCACCUAAGUAUAAUUUUUCACUCCCAAAUAUAUGGUCAUGAAGAGAGGAUCAUUCAGACCUUGGAAGAGAUGUUUAGGGCGUGUGUUAUUGACUUUAAAGGAUGUUGGGAUGAUCAUUUACCUUUGAUUGACUUUGCCUACAAUAAUAGUUAUAACUCUAGUAUUUAGAUGGCUCCUUUUGAGGCUCUCUAUGGGUGGAGAUAUAGAUUACCUAUUGGUUUGUUUAAAGUCGGUGACACUGAUUGAUAUGGCUAAAUUCCAUGGUUAAAACAAUGGAGAAAGUUUAGUUAAUUUGAGAGAGGCGGAAGAUAACCCAAAGUCAUCAAAAAUCGUAUGCUGAUGUGAUGAGAAAGGAUCUUGAGUUUGAGGUUGCUGACUUAGUUUAUUGAGAAAAGUUUCCUAUUAAAUGAGUGAAGAUAUUUGGAAAAAACGGGAAGCUCGGUCCCUUCUAUGUUAGUCCCUACAAAAUUUGAGUCAUUUUAGGAAGCUAGUUUAUUAGUCAGAAUUGCCUACACAUUUGAAUCAGUUCAUCCGGUGUUUCAUGUUUCUUUGUUCAAGAAAUCCAUUGGUAAUUUAGCUUCUAUUGUUCCUUUAUAAUGUUUGGAUGUUAAGGAUAGCCUUUCCAAUAAAGAAGUCCCAGUUUGGAUCCUGGAUCAUCAGAUUCAUCGGCUAAGGAAUAAAGAAGUUUCUUUGGUUAAGGUUUUAUGGAGAAAUCAGUCCGUUGAGGUAGCUACUUGAGAAGAAGAAGUAUAUAUGCAAGCCCGGUAUCCUCAUGUUUUCUCGCAAGUUCAGACACAAAUUAAGGUAAUGGUUUAUUGACCUUACCGACCCCGAGAUAUUGGUUUUUGAGUUGAAACAUGUUUAUGGAUAUUAAAGGUAUGUCUUCAACGAGUUCAAAAUUUUUGUAUGGGAUUUGGGGCGUGCCACUGCCUCUACAAUAGGGCCGCGGAGCGCUGGUCAUUCCCCCAAAAUGGAGCCUGCUACAUAGAGGUGGCUCUGCUGGAAUAGGUUCUGAGGCAUGCUAGCUACUCCCCCAGAUUAGGUUUUAUGGUGCGGAGGUGGGGCACUUCCAGCUACAUCAUUAAAAGGGGUCAAGGGGCAAUUGGGUCCUUUUCCCUCAACCCCAGUCAUCCCAAACACAAUUUGGGACAUUCAUAGUGGAAUUAUUUGCCCAUUAUCCUCAAAAUUACUCACUUCAAACCCUCCCUCUUCCCAAGAACAAAAUUCAAGAUCCCUUUUUCCCCAAUAAAUAAAGAGUUUAAGCUUUCAAGUUCAAGCAUUCUUUAUGAAUCUAACAACAGUGGUAUGUGGGGUUUGUGAACAAGGACAUUCUUCCAUCCUUGAGCCUUAAACUUAGUUUAAAGUUAAAGUAAUAUGAUAUUCUAUUAGGGUUCAUACCAAAAUUAUCUUGUCUUGAGAUUAUGAAAUUAUAUGUGAUCGAAGUAUUAAAGGGCAUAUAUGUUCUUAUCUAUUUAUGUUUCGACUAGAAGAUUCUCUAUUAUGAGUGGAGUAUCAUGAGUUUGAUUUGAAACAUUGAUGAAAGAUUUCCAAUUGAAUUUUAAUCAUGAUAAUGUAUUACAAUUUAUAUGAAAGAAAGUAUAAGAUUCAAGGCUUGAGUUUAAACACUAAGCUUACAAGUAAGUUUGAUCUUUUGAUUUAAUGACAAAGCUUGAAAUCCACAAUUCUUUAUUUUAACUAUGAUUUAAAGUAAAGAUAAGCAUAAGUAGUUUCUAGUAUACAAACCUUUAUUCUAUUUUAAGGUGGAUUUUAUAAACUAUGCACAUAUAAGUAUUAUGGGAGUAGAAUUUAGCACCGAGAAGGGAAUGUGGAUGAGUGUAUUCUUAAUUCCUAGAAACUACAAGCCAAUAUAGGCUAAUCUUUUUCCCAAAAUGAAUGAAGCUAAAGAUAGUGAUCACUAAGAUUAAUUUUUUAUCCUGAUGGCAAGGGUAGGACAGCUCUCCCCAACGUGAGUAUGACGUUGGACUCCAUGGUAGCUCACAUGGUUUAUUUUGGUUAUAAGAACCUCGCUAAGAAACAAUAAUAAGUAAAGACUUUAGAGUAAAGACUUUAGAAACUAAGUGUCAUGGCUCACAAAGUUUACUCUUAUUUUUCUUUUUUUUUAUGAUUAGGAACUUCCAGUCCUCUGUUUUAUUCAUAUCCAUGCUGAGUCAUUUAAACUUAGCAUGCAUCAUUAAAUGUUUAUUUGAAUAUUUAAUUAUUGUUUUACUUAUGUAUUCACCCCCAUAUACUCAGUACAUACCAGAAGUACUAACCCAUAUAUAUGGUUAUGUGAUAUAUUGUCUCAUAAUGUAGGUGAUGGUGCUCAUCUUCAGCAGCACGAUUGAUUAUGGGCAUCACCACCGACAUCCCGACUUUUGGUUAGUCCUUAUAGUCCGAGGGCCCAGUUUAUCAGACUUUUGAUAUUGAUGAAGUUCUUUAGUUAUUUGAUUUCUUUUUAUGUUUGGGUCAGCUGGGGCCUAUCCUAGUGGCUCUCUACUCAGAAGUAGAGGCUUGUCAAACUGUUUAUGCUUUCAGUUCAAAAGGGUAUGUUUAAAGAUUUCCAAGUUAAAGACUUUCAGUUAAGAUAUACGAUUAGUUAUCUUCAAAUUUUAUAUGUCAGUUUAAUUUUCUUAUGAGUUCCAAGUUAUGUAGGCUUAAAGGGUUAGCUUCGGAAUACUCGUAGUCUUGAGCACCUUGUGACACCUAGGAGUACUUUCGUGGUGUUGCAUAUAACUCUAUCGAACUCUAUAUAACACCUGUUAGCUGCCUCCACUAUUCGAAAUUCAAGGGUACUAAUUAGGCACUCAUAACAUUUACAAACUUAAGUACCCCUCUUCUUCGAACACCUAAGAAUCCUCUUUAUAUACUGACUUACCUAUAAUUCACUACUAUAACUAUUGUCCACAUCAAAAUUAGGAUUACUCACUCUUCUUAUAAACUAUAAACUUAAGCUCUGUCAUGAGCAAGAUCAUUCCAACUAUAUUUACUUCCACAAUGUUUUCAUUACUAUCCUAAACAAAUAUUAUUUCUACAUCGGUGAUCAUUCUUAAUUAAAACUUAAAAUCUACCACCUAAACCAAAUGGUUGAACAACCUCUGGCAUACUUUACUUACUUCAAACUAUAAAUGAGAAUCAAGAAACACUAAUCAUCUACAACCUCAUGGUAAAUAAUAGAUCAUAAACUUACGGCUGAUAAAAAUAAAUUUUUUUCACUCACACUACUACUCAUUCAAUCCAGUGUCUAAACUAACUUCAUAAGUCUAUCAAUAACAAAAGGGUUCUUUCUCCCUUCAAAGUCACUAGGUGCAAUCUAGAUUCAACAAUUCUUAAUCACCCAAUGCAUUGAUUAGGGCCUAUAUUUGAUCGAUAUGAAAACAAAGAUGAGCUCUAAAACACUAUAACUGAAAAAUCCUCAUUUAAUUACUACCACGAAAUCAUUACCACACUUAUAACACCUUAGAUGACACUUAGGAACAUAACACCCAAUCACUCUCUAUCUAUGGGGUAACUUCACUAUUCAAAAAUCUAAAUGCAUACAUUCUCCCCUCUUAUGGUUGUUGUCUUUGCUAAGGUCGAAGGAAGGGUCUAAAUACUCAUCCUAUUAAGGAUCAAAUGCAUAAUUCAUAAGAACAAGGGUGAAAUCUAUUGAAUUAACAGAUGUAGAAGCACUAAUGGGAUCUUAUUAUGUCCUUUUGGAGUCUCUUAACUUUCUAUGGGAUUUUUCAAAGGAAAUUACCUGGAUAAUAUCUUGAUCUCUACUACUUAUACCACAUUAAAAAUGAGGUAUAGUCUAUUGAACUUGGGGCAACACAUAAAGUUGUACAAGUUUCUUAGGGUAUUGAUUUUGGGCACGAUCUAGAGUAAUAAUGAGCGAGGAACUUUUCUUAGAUGUCUGUAGUCCCUCAUUUAUAGAAGUUGGACACUCACACCAUAAAUAACAUUCUACUAACACGGCUUCAUCGACUACCUAGGACACUUUAACUCUGUGUUCUGAUACCAAGUCUAUCACGACCUAAGCCUACACCCUAGACGUGACUCAUUACAUGGAACUAUAAGUGGUCUAAGAAAACCUUGGGCAAGUCAUGAAAAGUAAAACCUGAAAUAAAAAGUAAUGCAGAAGUAGAGGCAUAGGCUACACUUUUUAAAGUAAAUAAUAAAAUAAAUCCAUGAUUGAGAAAUAUAUUAUUUGAAGUUUUGAUAUAACUGUCUGACUGUCUAUGAAGUCUCUACUAACACAGAUUAGACAUUGGUUGUAAUACCCUAUACUUUUUCUAGUUAAAAUCCGUCCCUAGAAGGUUAAAGAAAAGAUUCCAAAAUAGAUGAUAAUUAUUUUGUAUUGAAUUCUAUGGAUUUUGACUACCACCUAACUCAAAUGGUUGAACAACCUCUCGCAUACUUUACUUACUUCAAACUACAAAUGAGAAAUAAGAAACACUUUUCAUGGUGUGGGAAAUUGAUUAAGACUUCCAUUGAUACAAAAUUCUCCCAAUUUCGACACUUGGUGAAGGAGUUAUGGCACUUUUAAGUUGACAGUAUGCCACCUGGUCCUUUAGCGCAUCGCAAAGAUAAUCAAAUUCCCAUUUGCCGAUUUCCAGUGGCCCUCUGCAAUAUUAUUGCAUCGUGGAGAAGGCCAAAUCCCUAAUUGUUCGAUUCCAGUGAAGGACCGUGAUAUUAGCGCAUCGCGCCAAGUUUCCAAGUCUCAUCCAAGGUGGCAUUGAGAUACCACCAUAUCGUGAGACCAUACAUAAUCCCAGUUGGCAUUUUCCAGUCACUUGGUGCGAUAGUGGCGCAUCGUGCCAAGGCCAAAAGUAAUGAUUUUAGUCGUUUUCCCAGUUCCGUUAUGAGUUUUAAAGAGGUAUUUUUGUAUAGUACCUAGUCCUAAAUCCGUCCAAGAACAUAGGAUUUAUCAAAUUUCAAAGAACUUUAUGCUACACUCAUCAUUCUCUCUCAAUCAAAACCCUAAGGCUCAUACUUCCUCUCCAAGAAAACCUAUAUUCCUCCUUUCAUUCUCCAAGAUAAUUCAAGAUUGAGGAUUCCUAAUACAAGAGUAUUAAGAGUUCAUCUCGAAAGAAUUAAUAGAGAUCCAAGAUUUAUGUCUUAGCCUAUAGUUCAUCAAUUAAGGUAUGUGGGGUUUGAACAAGUAUAAAUCUUUCAUCCUUGUGCCCAAAACUUUAUUUAAAUUACAAAUUUACUGCAUUUUAUAUGAUUUCCCAUGAAUUUCAAGUUAGAAUUUAUACCCAUUAUCAUUAUUUUCAAGAUUAUGAUAUUUCCCAUGAUUUAAAAGUAGAAUCACAUAAUUAUGUUUAUAUUUCCAUGCUUACUAUUGAUAUUUCAUGAUUUUAAGAUGAUUUAUGAAUGUUUAUAUUACCAAGUAUGAAUUUUGAGAUGUUUUAACAUGAGAUUGAUACUUGGGUCACUAGACCUUAUUUAAAUAUUGUUGAUUUAAAAUCGCUUGUGCUAUAAGCACCCCGUUACUAGAUUAUUUCUAGAUUUUAGAUAAAGAAUCCACUUUAUUUUAGAAGACUUAAGAUAUAAUGAAAAUCAAACAUAGUUGUCUUUCUAUAAACCUUUGGGUAAAUUUUAAAGUGGAUUCCUUAAGAUUUUAAGCAUGAGAUUGGGAGUAGUAUUUAGCAUAGAGAUGGGUAAGUCACUUCGAUUUCAUAACCCAGAACUACGUGUCACCGUAGGUAUAGAUUUUUAGAUUAUUCCUACUUCUACGUCAUGACUCAGAUUAUGAUAACUCAGAUUAGAUUGGUCUAUUUUUAUGGCAAGGGUUGAACAACCCUACAUACCAGGGGCUAGUCGUGGGACUCCAUGGAUGCUCAUAUUGUGUAUGUCAGUUAGAAGAACCUUUCAAAUAGAUUUCCCCUACUCCUAAAAUAGUUUAAUUGAUUUGAAGCCUUAAGACAUACAAAAUAAGUUUUAGACUUUAUUCAGGCUAUAUGAUUUGAGAAUAAGAACAGAAUACAGAUUUCAGAACUAAGUGUAUUGGCUAACAAGAUUUAGAUUUCUUAUUUUAUUAUUCAUGAUUUGACUUUCAGAUUUCAGAGUACUCAAGCUUAAGUGAGUCAUUUACAUUUAGCAUGCAUGAUGUUUUUGAUAAACUAUGAAGAUAUCGUUUACUUAUUGAAUCCACCCCUAUAUACUUAGUACAUCAUCAAAGUACUGAUCCACAUAUAAGUCUGUGUGCUAUAUUAUCUCAUGAUAUAGGUUUAAGUGCUCAGUCUCAACAGCGAGAGUGAUUUUUUGAGCAUCUCAUCUAUAUCCCUGAUGUUGGUGAGUCCUCUUAUUUUGGGGACUUAGCAAUUUAUAUUUCCAGUUGUCAGUAAAUAUUUUUAUUUCUCUUUUCAGACAGUCUGAGUUAGCUAGGUCAUAUCCCAGUGACUCUCUAGAGUUAUUUAGUAGAGGCUUGUCAAACUAUUAUAUUCAAUCUUAGAUUACAGAUGUUGUAUUUAGACAGUUCAAUAUUUGUUUUAUAAGAUUGAUGUGUUCAGUAUUUUAAGAUACUCUUAGAUUUUUUAGAUAGUUUUUUGCAUUAUCAGUAUCAUAUAUUCAUAUUUCCCUAUUUUGAGAUUCAGAGCUAAUAGAAAGCAGUCAGGGUUAGCUAAGGACUACUUAUAAUUCAGAAUAUCGUGUGGCAUUCCAAGAAUCAAAUUUUGGGGUGUUACAAACUUGGAAUCAGAGCCUAAGGUUUAGAGAGUCCUAGGGAGUCAAACAAGACACGUUAAAUAGAGUCUUAAUCAUCGGUGUCAAGUGCACCACAUCUAUAAGCAAAAGGCUAUGGAGAAUUUUAGAAAAAUCUUCUCUUUCUUUCAUAAUCCACAAUGCUUACAACUAUCUCUAUAUAUUAUUAACUCAUACUCUUUUAAGAUAGAAUAUUCCUCCUCUCAGAGCUAACAUACGUAGAAAUUACAACCUGCAACCUCAGCCCGCAGAAUAUUUGAAUGAGAAUGUGUCACAUGCAAAGUGCUGGGCUGCCUUUUAAGCGCUAGCCUAAGUUGUGACAGCUAAUAUUCAAGGUAACCGUUAGGCUCCAGCCCCACCACAGUAUGAUGGGGACUUAUCCGAAGCCAGAAUCAGAGAUUUUAUGAGAAUAAAUUUGCCAAAAUUCUUUGGGUCGAAGGCAGGUGAGCGCAUCCAUAACUUUAUCUAUAUGAGGUAAAGAAGAUCACCCAAAUUUUGCAUAUUUCUGGAGAGGAGAGUGUAGAAUUAGAAUCCUAUAGGUUGAAGGAUAUUUCUUAUGAUUGGGUGGUGAUGUGGAAGAAAAGUGCAGGAGAGAAUGCAACUCCCAUGACUUGUCAAAUUUUUCAGGAUGUUUUCUUAGACAAAUUCUUCCCACUUGUAAGAUGGAAGCUAUGAUAGAAGAGUUCAUAAACCUAUGACAGUGCUCUAUGACAGUGAAGGAGUAUUACCUUAAGUUCAACCAGUUGUCUAUGUAUGCCCCUGAUCAGAUGGCUUACCUUAGGUCUAGCAUGAGUAUGUUUGUGACCGGUGAGUCUGGAUUGAUAGUUAAGGAGUGUAGGACUUCUAUGUUCAAUAUAGACAUGGUUCUUUCUAGAUUAAUAAUGCAUGCUCAAAAGAUUAAGAAAGAAAAGAUGAAGGACAGAGAGAGAGUAAAUAAAAAAGCUAGAACAGGACAGUUUAGUUAUGGUCAGAAUAGGUCUGGAGGAGAAAAUCAUUUGCAUUUUUAGAAUCAUUCAUCUAUGCCCACACCUUCUUCAGCCAGUGCUCCUGCACCUAAAAAUAGAUCAAAAUAGUAGGUAAGUCUUCUAUGUCCAGAUCUCAGAAUAGUGUGAGUGGGAAGCCAAAUCAUACCCUAUGUAUAAAUUAUGGUAAGAAUAAUAGAGGUAAAUAUUUGUGGGUUUAGAAAGGUUGUUAUGGUUAUGGCCAGGAGGGUCAUGGAAUAAAGGAAUGCCCGUAUGCUAGACAGGUAAAUAGAGAUGCACGUCCCCAGACUCAGGCUAAUAGUGCACUAGCUCCUCUAGGUAACCCAUCCCCUUAUCACGGCACUUUAUCUAGUAUCGGUGGCGGUCAGCAUUAAAAUCGGCUUUAUGUUUUACCAUCCCAUCAAGAGUAUAAGGAUUCUUUAGAUAUUGUAAUCGGUAUGCUUCAUGUCUUUCAUUUUGAUGUUUAUGUUUUGUUAGACCCUGCGUCGAGUUUCUCUUAUGUCACCCCGUUAAUUGCUGUGAAUUUUAAGAUAAAACCUAAAAGGAUCACUGAGCCUUUCUUAGUUUCUACUCCAGUACGUAAGUCAGUUGUUGCUAAGAAAAUCUACAAGAAGUGUCACAUCACUGUCAUUCAUAGAGUCAUUUUAGCAGACUUGAUAGAGUUAGAUAUGGUUUAUUUUGAUCUUAUUCUUAGUAUUUAUUGGUUCCAUUCCUAUUAUAAUUCUAUAGAUUUUUGCACCCAAGUGGUGAAGUUUCAAUUUCCAAGUGAGCUAGUCUUUGAGUGGGCAGGUAAUUCAAUAUCUCCCAAGAGUCAUUUCAUAUCUUAUCUUUAGGCCAGAAGGGUGGUGAUGUGGAAGAAAAGUGCAGGAGAGAAUGCAACUCCCAUGACUUGUCAAAUUUUUCAGGAUGUUUUCUUAGACAAAUUCUUCCCACUUGUAAGAUGGAAGCUAUGAUAGAAGAGUUCAUAAACCUAUGACAGUGCUCUAUGACAGUGAAGGAGUAUUACCUUAAGUUCAACCAGUUGUCUAUGUAUGCCCCUGAUCAGAUGGCUUACCUUAGGUCUAGCAUGAGUAUGUUUGUGACCGGUGAGUCUGGAUUGAUAGUUAAGGAGUGUAGGACUUCUAUGUUCAAUAUAGACAUGGUUCUUUCUAGAUUAAUAAUGCAUGCUCAAAAGAUUAAGAAAGAAAAGAUGAAGGACAGAGAGAGAGUAAAUAAAAAAGCUAGAACAGGACAGUUUAGUUAUGGUCAGAAUAGGUCUGGAGGAGAAAAUCAUUUGCAUUUUUAGAAUCAUUCAUCUAUGCCCACACCUUCUUCAGCCAGUGCUCCUGCACCUAAAAAUAGAUCAAAAUAGUAGGUAAGUCUUCUAUGUCCAGAUCUCAGAAUAGUGUGAGUGGGAAGCCAAAUCAUACCCUAUGUAUAAAUUAUGGUAAGAAUAAUAGAGGUAAAUAUUUGUGGGUUUAGAAAGGUUGUUAUGGUUAUGGCCAGGAGGGUCAUGGAAUAAAGGAAUGCCCGUAUGCUAGACAGGUAAAUAGAGAUGCACGUCCCCAGACUCAGGCUAAUAGUGCACUAGCUCCUCUAGGUAACCCAUCCCCUUAUCACGGCACUUUAUCUAGUAUCGGUGGCGGUCAGCAUUAAAAUCGGCUUUAUGUUUUACCAUCCCAUCAAGAGUAUAAGGAUUCUUUAGAUAUUGUAAUCGGUAUGCUUCAUGUCUUUCAUUUUGAUGUUUAUGUUUUGUUAGACCCUGCGUCGAGUUUCUCUUAUGUCACCCCGUUAAUUGCUGUGAAUUUUAAGAUAAAACCUAAAAGGAUCACUGAGCCUUUCUUAGUUUCUACUCCAGUACGUAAGUCAGUUGUUGCUAAGAAAAUCUACAAGAAGUGUCACAUCACUGUCAUUCAUAGAGUCAUUUUAGCAGACUUGAUAGAGUUAGAUAUGGUUUAUUUUGAUCUUAUUCUUAGUAUUUAUUGGUUCCAUUCCUAUUAUAAUUCUAUAGAUUUUUGCACCCAAGUGGUGAAGUUUCAAUUUCCAAGUGAGCUAGUCUUUGAGUGGGCAGGUAAUUCAAUAUCUCCCAAGAGUCAUUUCAUAUCUUAUCUUUAGGCCAGAAGGUUAAUUUCUAAAGAUUGCAUUUACCAUCUAGUUUGAGUUAAAGACACAAAGUCUGAGACUCCAAUAGUUUAGUAUAUCAUUAUUGUAAGUGAGUUUCCUAAUGUCAUUCCAGAAGAUCUCCCAGGGGUACCUCCCGAUAGAGAGAUAGAAUUUGGUAUUGACCUUCUUGUAGAUACUCAGCCUAUUUCUAUCCCUCGAUAUCAUAUGGAUCUUAUAGAUCUUAAAGAGUUGAAAGAUCAACUCAAAGAUCUUUUAGAUGAAGGUUUGAUAAGGCCUAGUGUUUCCCUAUGGGGUGCUCCUAUCCUAUUCAUCUGAAAGAAAGAUGGUUAUUUAUGUAUGUGCAUUGACUAUCGUCAGCUAAAUAAGGUCACAGUCAAGAAAAAAUAUCCUCAUCCUAGAAUUAGUGACCUGUUUAAUCAAUUACAAGGUACCAGUUAUUUCUAAAAGAUAGACCUUAGAUCCGGCUAUCAUUAUCUUAAAGUAAGAGAGUGUGAUAUUCCAAAGACAGCUUUUAAAACCUGCGAGGGUUAUUUUUAGUUUCUAGUCAUGUCCUUUGGGCUAACCAAUGCUCCAGCAGCUUCAUGGACAUCAUGAAAUGAGUGUUCAAACAGUAUCUUAAUAUUUUUGUCAUAGUAUUUAUAGAUGAUAUCCUAGUAUACUCUCGCAGUGAGGAUGACUAUGCAUAUCAUCUUAGAACUGUCUUACAAACUCUUAGAGAUCAUCAAUUAUUUUCCAAAUUUAGCAUGUUUGAAUUUCAGCUAAGAUCAGUAGCCUUUCUUGGUCAUAUUAUUUUUUUCCAAUGGCACUAGAGUCGAUCCCUAAAAGAUAUAAGCGUAAGGAAUUUGCCUAAACCUAUCUCUCUGUCAGAAAUUAGGAUUUUCUUGGCUAUAGAUGGUUACUACCACUGUUUUGUUAAAGGUUUCUUAUCUAUUGCAUCCUCAAUGUGUUGGUUGAUCCAAAAGAAAUUUAAGUUCCUAUGGUUAUAUUCCUGCGAGAAGAGUUUUUAGGAGUUAAAGACUCGACUCACUUCAGCCUCAGUUCUAGCAUUACCUGAUAGUAUAAAUGGCUUUGUUUUUUAUUGUGAUGCCUUUAGAGUUGGUUUGGUUUGUGUGUUAAUGCAUAGAGGUAAGGUCAUAGCCUAUUCCUCUAGACAUUUGAAGCCUCAUGAAAAUAAUUACCCAACCCAUGACCUAGAAUUAGCUGAUAUGGUGUUUACUUUAAAAAUAGGGAGACAUUAUCUGUAUGGUGUGUAUAUUGAUGUGUUCACGGACCACAAAAGUUUUAAGUAUAUGUUUACUCAGAGGGGUUUGAGUCUCCUUCGAAGAAGGUGGUUGGAGUUUUUGAAGGAUUAUGAUAUGAGUGUAUUGUAUUACCCGGGAAAGGCCAAUGUAGUGGUAGAAACCCUUAAUAGCUUGUCUAUGAGAAGUGUUGCUUAUGUGGAGAAUGAUAAGAAAGAAUUAGCUUGAGAAUUUCAUUGUUUGGCUAGAUUAGGUGUCAGGUUGGUUGAUUCAGCUGAAGGGAAAGUUUGGGUUCAGAGUAGUUUCGAAUCUUUCCUAGUUUCAGAAGUGAAGGAGAAGCAAGAUACAGAUUGUAGUUUGGUCAAACUGAAAGAGUUAGUUAAAAACCAAAGGAUAGAGGUUUUCUCCCAAGGGGGAGAUGGCGUGUUGAGAUAUCAAAAUAGAUUAUGUGUGCCUUGUGUGAAUGAGUUAACAAAGAAAAUUAUGGCCGAAGUACGUGGUGCGCGUAAUUCUAUUCAUGUAGGUGCUACAAAGAUGUACCAUGACAUAUGGGAAAUCUAUCGGUGGAGUAGUAUGAAGAGAGAGAUAGCAGAGUUCAUAGCAAAGUGUGCAAUUUUUCAAUAGUUUAAGGUAGAACACCAAAGACCUGGUGGUACGUUGCAAGAGUUUGGUGUCCCCACUUAGAAGUGGGAGGAGGUGAACAUGGAUUUUGUGACUUGUUUACCCCAUUCGUGUCAUCAUCAUAAUUCAAUUCAGGUUAUAGUUGACAUAUUUACUAAGUCAGUGCAUUUCUGGCCAGUUCACACAUCCUAUAAAGUUAAGGAUUAUGCUAAGUUGUACAUCCGAGAAUUUGUUAGGUUUCAUGGAGUUACCUUGUCUAUCAUUUCGGAUAGGGGUACUCAGUUUCCUUCUCAAUUUUGGAGAUCCUUCCAUAAGGGUCUUGGUACCCAAAUCCAUCUUAGUUCAGCUUUCCACCCGCAGACAGAUGGUCAAACAAAGAGGACAAUCCAAACUCUAGAAGAUAUGUUGAGGGUGUGUGCUCUUGAUUUCAAAGGUAGUUGGCAUGAGCAUUUACUAUUGAUUGAGUUUUCUUAUAAUGACAGUUACCAUGCUAGGAUUUGAAUGGCUCCAUUUGAGAAUCUUUAUGGGAGGAGAUGUAGAUCACCCAUAGGUUGGUUUGAGGUGGGUGAGGCCGCUUUGCUUUGGCCCGAUACAGUGUAUAAAGCUAUGGAGAAAGUUAAGUUGAUUAGAGAAAGAUUGCAAACAGCCCAGAGUUGUCAAAACUCUUAUGCAAAUUUGAGAUAAAGGGACCUUGAGUUUAAGGUUGGUGAUUUAGUGUAUCUGAAACUUUCACCCAUGAAAGGGGUGAAGAGAUUUGGCAAGAAGGUAAAGCUUAGUCCCCGGUAUGUUGGCCCUUUUAGCAUUUUGACUCGUGUUGGGAAAGUAGAUUAUGAGAUUUAGUUGCCCGUAGACUUGUCACCCGUUCAUCCUGUAUUGCACAUCUCUAUGCUUAAGAAAUGCAUCGUGACUCCACUGUUAUAGUCCCUUUAGAAAGCUCAGGUAUUCAGAAAAGCCUUUCAUAUGAAGAGAUUCCAGUUGAGAUUCUAGAUCAUUAGAUUCGUAUACUAAGGAACAGAGGCGUUCCCUUGGUCAAAGUUCUUUGGAAGAAUCAGUCGGUUGAGGGCGCUACUUGGAAGUAGAAGCAGAUAUGCGAUCCAAGUACCCUCACCUCUUCUCCGCAAAUUCAGAUCUAGCUGAAGGUAAUACUCUUCCUUGAUUCAGUUCUUUUCUAAUCAAAUAUUCAUAUAUAUAGUUGUCCUCAUGUAAGUUCAUGCUCUCACAGAACUACUCAGAAGCUUAGAAUAAUUUAGAUUUAGUUAUUCAGUUCAUUUCAGUUGUGCUUGUUAUCUUAUAUUCUCAGAUUCCUUAGAAAUUUCAGCUUAACUAGAAAUUUCAGCUUAACUAGUAACUAGUAAUACCCCAUACUUUUUCUAGUUAAAAUCCGUCCCUAGAAGGUUAAAGAAUAGCUUCCAAAAUAGAUGAUAAUUAUUUCGUGUGGAAUUCUUUGGAUUUAGACUACCACCCAACUCAAAUGGUUGAACAACCUCUCACAUACUUUACUUACUUCAACUACAAAUAAGAAUCUAGAAACACUAGUACUCUAAAACCUCAUGGUAAAUAAUAGAUUAUAACCUUACAGUCUAUAAGCAUAAAUUUCUUUUACUCACACUACUACUCAUUCAAUCAGGUGUCUAAACUAACUUCAUAAGUCUAUCAGUACCAAAGGAUUCUUUCUCCCUUUCAAAGUCACUAGGUGCAAUCUAGAUUCAUUAAUUCUUAAUCACCCAAUGCAUUUAUUAGGACCUAUAUUUGAUCGAUAUGAACAAAAAGAUGAGCUCUAAAACACUAUAACCAAAAAAUCAUGCUCUAAAUACUGCCAUGAAAUCUUUACCAUAGUUAUUACACCAUAGACGACCCUUAGGAACAUAACACCCAAUCACUCCCUAUUUGUUGGGUAAUUUCACUAUCCAAAAAUUUAAAUAUAUACAUUCUACCCUAUUAAGGUUAUUGUUUAAGCUAUGUUUGAGGGAAGGCUCUAAAUACUCAUCCCAAUAAGGAUCAAAUGUAUAAUUCAUAAGAACAAGGGUGAAAUCUCUUGAAUUAACCAAUGAAAAAGCACUAUUGCGGACUUUUUAAGCCCUUUUGUAGUCUUUUAAAUUUCUAUUGGCUUUUUCUAAAGAAAAUAAUUUGAUAAUAGUUUGAUUUCUACUAAUUAUGCCACAUUAAAAGGAGGAAUAGUCGAUUGAACUUGGAGCAACACAUGAAGUUGUACAGGUGUCUUAGGGUAUAGCUUUCGGGCACGAUCUAGAGUAACAAAAAGUGAGGAACUUUUAUUAGAUUUCUGUAGUCCCUCAUUUAUAGAAGUGGGACAGUCACACCAUAAAUAAUUUCCUACACGGCUUCAUCGACUCCUUAGGAUACUUGAACUUUGUGCUCUGAUACCAAGUUUGUCAUGCUAUGUGCUCUGAUACCAAGUCUGUCAUGCCUUGAGCCUAUACCCUAUACGUGACACAGUACAUGUAACUAUGAAUGGCCUAUAACCUUGGAUAUGUCAUGAAAAGUAAAACCUGAACUAAAAAGUAAUGCAAAAAUUGAGGCAUAAGCUACAAUUUUUAAAAUAAAUAGUAAAAUAAUUCCAUGAUUGAGAAAUAUAUUAUUUGAUAUUCGGAUACAACUGUCUGCCAGUCUAUGAUGUCUCUACUAAUAUUGAUUAGUCAUUGGUUGAAAUACCCCAUACUUUUUCUAUUUAAAAUACAUCCCUAGAAGGUUAAAGAAUAGCUUCCAAAAUAGAUGAUAAUUAUUUCGUGUGGAAUUCUUUGGAUUUACACCUUUCAUGUUGUGGGAAUUGAUUAAGCUUUUCAUCGAUACCAAAUUCUCCUAAUUACGACACUUGGUAAAGGAGUUAUGGCACUUUUAAGUUGGCAGUGUGCUAGCUGGGCCUUUAUUGCAUGGCGAAGAUGAGCAAAUUCACAUUUGUCAUUUUCCAGUGGCCCUACAUGAUAUUUGUGCGUUGCGGAGAGGGUACAAUCCCUAAUUAUUGGAUUCUAGUGAAUGUACAUGAUAUUAGCGUGUUUUCCCAAGUUUCCAGGUCUCAUCCAAGGUGGCAACGUGAUACCACCACAUCGCGCCACCAUGCAUAUUCCCAGUUAGCAUUUUCUAGUGUCUUGGCGUAAUAGUGCCACAUCGCGCCAAGGCCAAAAGUCGGGAUUUUGGUCAUUUUUCUAGUUCCAUUUAUAAGUUUAAAAGGGUAUUUGGUAAAGUACCCAGUCCCAAAUCCAUCUAAAAAUAAUUGAUUUAUCAAAUUUCAAAGCACUUUAUGUUACAUUCAUCAUUCUCUCUCACAAUCAAAACCCUAAGGCUCAUACUUCCUCUCCAAGAAAACCCAUAUUCCUGCAUUAAUUCUCUAAGAUAAUUCAAGAUUGAGGAUUCCUAAUACAAGAGUAUUAAGAAUUUAUCUCCAAAGCAUCAAUAGAGAUCAAAGAUUCAAGUCUUAGCAUCUAGUUCAUCAAUUAAGGUAUGUGGGAUUUGAACAAGAAUAAAUCUUUCAUCUUUAUGCCUAAAAGUUUAUUUUUAUUACAAGUUUAUUGUAAUUUAUAUGAUUUCCCAUGAAUUUUAAUUUAGGGUUUAUACCCAUUAUAAUUAUUUGCAAGAUUAUGAGAUUUCCCAUGACUUAAAAGUUGAAUCACAUAAUUAUGUUUAUAUUUCCAUGCUUAUUGUUGAGAUUUCAAGAUUUUAAGGUGAUUUAUGAAUGUUUACAUUACCACGUAUGAAUUUUGAGAUGUUUUAACAUGAGAUUGAUUCUUGGGUCACUAUACCUCAUUUAAAGAUUGUUGUUUUAGAUUUUAGAUAAUGAAUGCACUUUAUUUUAGAAGACUUGAGAUUUAAAGGAAAGCAAAGCAUAGUUGGCUUUUUGUAAACCUUUGUGUAAAUUUUAAAGUGGAUUCCCUAAGAUUUUAAGCAUGAUAUUGGGAGUAGUAUUUAGCACCGAGAUGGGUAAGACACUACGAUUUCAUAUCCCAGAACUACGUGCCACCAAAGGGUACAAAUUUUUAAAUUUUUCCCACUUCUAUGUGGAUGACUCAGGGUGUGAUCACUCAGAUUAGAUUGUUCUACUCCGAUUUCAAGGCUUAUGUCGGUUAGAAGAAACUCCUAAAUAGAUAUUCCCUACUCUUAAAAUAGUUUAAUUGAUUAGAAGCCUUAAGACAUGCAGAAUAAGUUUCACACUUUAUUCAGCCUAUAUGAUUUGAGAAUAAGAACAGAGUACAAAUUUCAGAACCAAAUGUAAUGGAUCACAAGAUUUAUAUUGCAUUUUUUAUUAUUCAUGAUUUGACUUUUCGAUUUCAGAUUACUCAAGCUUAAGUGAGUUAUUUACAUUUAGAAUGCAUGAUGUUUACUAUAAACUAUGAUGAUAUCGUUUACUUAUUUCAUGCACCCCUAUAUACUUAGUACAUAAUCAAAGUACUGAUCUACAUAUACGUCUGUGUGCUAUAUUACCUCAUAAUGUAGGUUUAGGUGUCAGUCUCAGCAGCGAGACUGAUUUUUCAAGCAUCUCAUCUACAUCCCUACAGUUAGUGAGUCCUCUUAGUUCUGGCACUUUGCUAUUCAAAUUUUUUGCUGUCAGUAAAUAUUUUCAUUUCUAUUUUCAGAUAGUCUGAGUUAGCUGGGGCCAGUCUUAGUGACUCUCUAGAUUCAGUUAGUAGAGGCUUGUUAGACUACUAGAUUCAGCCUUAGAUAUCAGAUGUCGUAUUUAGACCUUUCUGUAUUAGUUUUAUCAGAUCGAUGUGAUCAGUAUUUUCAGAUAUAUUUAGAAUUUUUAGAUAGUUUUCUAUAUUGUCAGUAUAGUAUAUUAAUAUUUCCUUCUUUUAAGAUUCAGAGCUAAUAGAAAGUAGUCAGGGUUAUCUCAAGACUACUAAUAAUUUGAAGCACCGUGUGGCAUUCUAACAAUGAGAUUUUAGGGUGUUACAAAGAUACAAUCCCCAAGUGAACCCUAACCAACUAAAAGGGACUAAAAUAGAAUGAAAACUCUAAAUAAGUUAACCACGAAGGAUGAGGACUUACCAAGAACUGACUGGAAUCUACUAGCACUUGCUAGUCAAGAAACUUUGAGAAAUACCUGGAUCUACAUUAUGAAACAAUGUAGACACAAAAAGUAUGAGUCAGUACUUUAACUAUACUGACAUGUAAAGCAGUAAAGUAAAAUAGUUUUAAUAUCUGAAACAAAUAAAGAUGGAAACUGAGACAUGAAUAUUAUAAUUAUAAAUAGAGCUGAAUUAUUGAAAAUAUGAAUGGUUAACUUGAAGGCUAAAACUCAAAGUAAUAUAAGUAAAAUCUUUUAAAAACACGUUCAUAAAACUAUAAUAGAAUGAUUAAAGGCUGACCAAAACUUAAAAAUAAUGCUCCUCUAGAAAUCUUUUAAACUAGUGGCAUCGGCAAGUCAUACAUUAUCUUAAAAUAAAUUAAUUUUUUUAGGGAGUUUCUCUUAACAGAAAUAAACCAAGUGAAAAAUAUGGAAUCCAAUGUGUUUCCCACAUUGAGAAGAUCCGUCCUACACCUAGCUAGGUUGAAAGAUGAAAUGUAACUUAUGGAUCCAACUCUUUGACCGAUGACAAACCUACGUUUGUAGCAUAUUUAUAGGCAUGUGACCUCGGACUCCUACCCAACUAAUAAUCCUACCAAUGCAUACUAGCUUAUCAUAAUGUAGUCUUAAAAAUCUUUCUAAAACUCAUGCUUGACUUAAAAUAUUGUUUCAAGAGUGUGUAUGUGUGUGCAUAUAUAUAUACAUAUAUAUAUGUGGGGGAAAAAAAGGGGGGAGAGAGAGAGUCUUGGCUUAAAUUUUCUUUUAACUUUUCUUAACAAUAACCUUCUUAAUUCUCUUUUCAAGACAAAUAUAUCAGGAAGAUCUUUUGCAAAUUUUCCAUGAACAUAUACUUGAAAACUGUAAACCAAAAUGUAUCGAAAUCAUGAUUAAUCAAACAAGUCAUGAAAAAGGUUUCUCAAAUAAAUUAAGGAAAUUCAUAAACUUUGCCUGAAAAUUCAAUGAACACAUACAGGAAUCAAAUCAAGAGAAUGACUCUAAACUCAUAGAGUUCUUAAUAAAAAUCAUAGGAUGUUAAAAAAAUAUGAUCAAGAAACCAAAAAUUUAAAUUAAGGAUUUCAAUUCCUAAAAUCCCUAAAUUAAUUUGUGGCUUAAACUAAAAAUAUAACUUUUUUGUGGGGAGAAUGGGUUCCCACAGGAAAGGAAUAACUUUACAUACCUCAAGAAUCGAGAAACAUGAAAAAGAUUUGAUAGAAUCUUGUUUAGAGAUCCUAAUCUUUGAUUUUUCUUAAGAAUUAGCCUUAAGGUUUGGGAAAGAGGAAG
rnacentral:lncRNA from 1 species